rnacentral:rRNA from 1 species
GACGGAGGGUGCAAGCGUUGUUCGGAAUUACUGGGCGUAAAGGGCGCGUAGGUGGCCUGUUAAGUUCGGUGUGAAAGCCCCUGGCUCAACCGGGGAAGUGCGCCGGAUACUGGCAGGCUAGAGUACCGGAGAGGAGGGUGGAAUUCCUGGUGUAGCGGUGAAAUGCGUAGAUAUCAGGAGGAACACCGGUGGCGAAGGCGGCUUCCUGGACAAUAACUGACGCUGAGGCGCGAAAGCUAGGGGAGCAAACAGG